GAUCUGCCCCGGCAAUACAGACUCUGGCAAUACGGUAGAUGACUCGAACCCACCUAUGGAACCCGGAACGCCAGCAUCGUUCCUUUGUUUCUUUCCCCUAAAAUUUCCCUGCUAAUCCGAAAAGCUUCCUGCCAUUGUUCGAGUUAUCGUCUCAGUUGCCGUCGGCGCCCGCCCUAGAUUCAACUUCAUCGUUGUCGUCGAUGGCCGUAAGCAUUACCAUCUUCACAAGCACGCCGUCGACGAGCUACUACCUCUCAGAGUGAGGUUCAAUUCUCAUUGAGGUUUAUCACUUGGUUGUGAAACUUGCAAAUUUUGACAAGGAGAGAUAACAGGCGGACAUGUGAAGAAAAGGCCUCUGUAGUUAAUGGAACAGACACUGGUGCGGGUGUGGACAUGCGGGUGGACAUGGCGCAUGCAGUGUUGGGUAUGGUCAGCGUACCCAAGGUCGUGUUCGACCAUUUUUGGACAGGGAACAGCUGAUAUUGUGAUGCAAUGUGUAUGGCAAUUUGAGGAGAACAAUGUGAUGGAAUUUCUUAUUCUUGCUGGGCGUAUAACCAAUGGAUUAUGAAAGCUUCGUCCAAGCUUACAGAGAAACUGGUACAGAUAUUACUGUUGCCGCACUGCAUGGAUAAGAGGCAGGCUAGUGCAUUUUUCUGGUAGAGAUCAUUGCUGAAAGAUUUGUUUGUAAGAUUGUUUUUGUAAUAAUGGAAUUCAAACUUUUAAAAAGCUCCUCCCUCUCUCUAUA